rnacentral:tRNA from 1 species
GGGGUUGUGGUUCAGUGGUAGAACAUGCACCGAGCACGUGCAAGGCCCUGGGUUUGAUCCUCACUCAGCCUCA